UGCCUCAGGUUGUAAACUACUGUUUUA
rnacentral:piRNA from 1 species